rnacentral:rRNA from 1 species
GAUGAACGCUGGCGGCGUGCCUAAUACAUGCAAGUCGAGCGAACAGACGAGGAGCUUGCUCCUCUGACGUUAGCGGCGGACGGGUGAGUAACACGUGGAUAACCUACCUAUAAGACUGGGAUAACUUCGGGAAACCGGAGCUAAUACCGGAUAAUAUAUUGAACCGCAUGGUUCAAUAGUGAAAGACGGUUUUGCUGUCACUUAUAGAUGGAUCCGCGCCGCAUUAACUAGUUGGUAAGGUAACGGCUUACCAAGGCAACGAUGCGUAGCCGACCUGAGAGGGUGAUCGGCCACACUGGAACUGAGACACGGUUCAGACUCCUACGGGAGGCAGCAGUAGGGAAUCUUCCGCAAUGGGCGAAAGCCUGACGGAGCAACGCCGCGUGAGUGAUGAAGGUCUUCGGAUCGUAAAACUCUGUUAUUAGGGAAGAACAAAUGUGUAAGUAACUAUGCACGUCUUGACGGUACCUAAUCAGAAAGCCACGGCUAACUACGUG